AGAGUUAAAUAGUACGUGAAAUUGUUGAAAGGGAAACGAUUGAAGCCAGUCGUACCGACGGGAAAUCAACUUUCCAGCGGGAUCUUAAGUGACGGGUAGCCUCGCGCCCUCGCCGCUUACGAUUCAAGCAGGUGGCGUACUUUUCCGUAGGUAGGUCAGCAUCGAUUUUGACCGCCAUAAAAUGGCCGGAGGAAUGUAGCUUCGAUCUCGUAUUGGAGUGUUAUAGCCUCUGGUAGAUGUGGUGGUUGGGAUCGAGGAUUGCAACGAAUACCCUUUUGGGCUAUCAGUCUGACCUCUGAAAGUCGCUCGGGCGCCGAAAGCUUGCUUACGGUCGUUCUAGUUGGCGGUCAAAAGGUUAGAACGCGAUUAAAUUCGUUAAGGAUGUUGACGUAAUGGCUUUAAACGACC
rnacentral:rRNA from 1 species